GAUGAACGCUGGCGGCGUGCUUAACACAUGCAAGUCGAACGAUGAAGCCCAGCUUGCUGGGUGGAUUAGUGGCGAACGGGUGAGUAACACGUGAGUAACCUGCCCUUGACUCUGGGAUAAGCCUGGGAAACUGGGUCUAAUACUGGAUAUGACUUCUCAUCGCAUGGUGGGGGGUGGAAAGAUUUAUUGGUCUUGGAUGGACUCGCGGCCUAUCAGCUUGUUGGUGAGGUAAUGGCUCACCAAGGCGACGACGGGUAGCCGGCCUGAGAGGGUGACCGGCCACCCGGGGAAGGAGACACGGCCCAGACCCCGACGGGGGGCAGCAGUGGGGAAUAUUGCACAAGGGGCGAAAGCCUGAUGCAGGGACGCCGGGGGGGGGAGGACGGCCUUCGGGUUGUAAACCUCUUUCAGUAGGGAAGAAGCGGGAGGGGCGGUACCGGCAGAAGAAGCGCCGGCAAACUACGG
rnacentral:rRNA from 1 species